rnacentral:rRNA from 1 species
UACGUAGGGGGCUAGCGUUGUCCGGAAUCCUUGGGCGUAAAGCGCGUGUAGGCGGUCCGAUAAGUCCGCUGUGAAAGUCGAGGGCUCAACCCUCGAAUGCCGGUGGAUACUGUCGGGCUUGAGUACGGGAGAGGCGAGUGGAAUUCCUGGUGUAGCGGUGAAAUGCGCAGAUAUCAGGAGGAACACCGAUUGCGAAGGCAGCUCGCUGGAACGUUACUGACGCUGAGACGCGAAAGCGUGGGGAGCAAACAGG